rnacentral:tRNA from 1 species
UCCAUGAUAGUUUAGUGGUUAAGACAGUGCUUUCACUGUCAGAGGCCCAGGUUUGAUCCCUGGUCGGGGAA